rnacentral:rRNA from 1 species
GAUGAACGCUGGCGGCGUGCCUAAUACAUGCAAGUCGAGCGAACGGACGAGAAGCUUGCUUCUCUGAUGUUAGCGGCGGACGGGUGAGUAACACGUGGAUAACCUACCUAUAAGACUGGGAUAACUUCGGGAAACCGGAGCUAAUACCGGAUGAUAUUUUGAACCGCAUGGUUCAAAAGUGAAAGACGGUCUUGCUGUCACUUAUAGAUGGAUCCGCGCUGCAUUAGCUAGUUGGUAAGGUAACGGCUUACCAAGGCAACGAUGCAUAGCCGACCUGAAAGGGUGAUCGGCCACUCUGGAACUGAGACACGGACCAGACUCCUACGGGAGGCAGCAGUAGGGAAUCUUCCGCAAUGGGCGAAAGCCUGACGGAGCAACGCCGCGUGAGUGAUGAAGGUCUUCGGAUCGUAAAACUCUGUUAUUAGGGAAGAACAUAUGUGUAAGUAACUGUGCACAUCUUGACGGUACCUAAUCAGAAAGCCACGGCUAACUACGUG